rnacentral:rRNA from 1 species
UACGGGGGGGGCAAGCGUUGUUCGGAAUUACUGGGCGUAAAGGGCUCGUAGGCGGCCAUCUAAGUCAGACGUGAAAUCCCCAGGCUCAACCUGGGAACUGCGUCUGAUACUGGAUGGCUUGAAUCCGGGAGAGGGAUGCAGAAUUCCAGGUGUAGCGGUGAAAUGCGUAGAUAUCUGGAGGAACACCGAUGGCGAAGGCAGGUCACUGGGCCGCAACUGACGCUGAGGAGCGAAAGCAUGGGGAGCGAACAGG